AGCCAAUCAGAAUGGCAAUGGUGGAAGUCGCCACCCAUAUCUGUGGGUAGCUGUUGCCUGUCCACAAACUGCUCGAGGACAGCUGUUCCUUGCACGACGUGGACCUGGGAAUGACGCAAAGGAACAGGAGAAAUAAGCAAUACGAGUCACAAGAAGGCUGCUGUCCCUCCACCAAAACCAGCACUGCUCCAAGACCACCAGGAACCAUCCGCUAGGACAUCAUGUAAGUUUUAAUCACCCUCAAUGGUGCCAAGUUUUGUUUUCAAAACACGGGCGCUCACCUGGAAUAACCUAAGCGCGGAGAGGCAGUGCACAGACAGCGGUGAUCGUCUGCAGUCUGUUACCACCUUUACCGUGCCAUCCUGUGGUAGCAGGCCAGGAUGCGGGCCAUCUCCUCGCUGUUGCGGGAAUCUCCCGUUUCAGCUACUACUAGGGCGCGUCCCAAUCUGUCCACUGUACCUGUGGUGAGAAUGAAUCAACCACUCAAUAUAUCCACUGAUUCUGCUUGCUUUUCUGGCUUGGAAAAUACCAGUCAUCCUUAGAUGCCCAGACCGGAGAAGCUCUACGUCCAAUUCCCUCAGCAAAGGGGCCUCUUUAAAUGCAUUGACUGACUCUGCCUCCUCAUUAGCGGGGAUAAAGGUAGCCGAUUGCCCACUGCAAUCAAGUAAAGAUUCUGCCUCUAUUUGGAUGAACAGAGAAACAUUCAAUCAUGGGCGUGUCUUUAAAAAGAGAAGCAAUUCAGGUGAAUCGUACCUGUUCCGGUUGCGGCGUUCUCUGACGGGCAGUCCUCGUCGGACCACGCUUCCGAAUGGCAAUCUGUGAUUGGUCGUCGUGUAGACCCGGAGCAGGAAGGGGAGCUCAGAUGAAGAGACGCUUUCCCCUGCGGUUUGGAGCCCCCGCGGGAAGCACGUGCGCCAGACCGAGCCUUUCCUUUGGCUCCCCUAACCCUCCUUUUCCUCCUUCAAGCCAAACACAUGUUUUCUGACAACUUGAUUGCACAAUGUCCU